rnacentral:tRNA from 1 species
GCAUGCAUAGCUCAGUUGGUUGAAGCACGGUACUGAUAAUGCCAAGGUUGCAGGUUCGAUCCUUGUAUAGUACAACUGCAUAUU